GUGUUCACACUGGCAGCAUAUAUGCUGAAAUUGGAACAGUACAGAGAAAAUUAGCAUGGCCCCUGCACAAGGAUGACAUGCAAAUUCAUGAAGUGUUCCAUAUUUUU
ensembl:snRNA U6 U6 spliceosomal RNA